UACGUAGGGGGCAAGCGUUGUCCGGAAUUAUUGGGCGUAAAGAGCGUGUAGGCGGUCCGGUAAGUCAGCUGUGAAAGUCAAGGGCUCAACCCUUGAAAGCCGGUUGAUACUGUCGGGCUAGAGUCCGGAAGAGGCGAGUGGAAUUCCCGGUGUAGCGGUGAAAUGCGCAGAUAUCGGGAGGAACACCAAUGGCGAAGGCAGCUCGCUGGGACGGUACUGACGCUGAGGAGCGAAAGCAUGGGGAGCAAACAGG
rnacentral:rRNA from 1 species